UUAUUAGUGAGGUUAAUCCUUUUCUGUUUUUUCUUUUGGAGAAAUGGAGUAUGAUGAUUUGGGAUAAGAGGUUGUGAUUAAACUAUUGUGGUUUGUGGAGUGCAGCAAGUUUUAUACUAACCAUACCUGAU